GUAAUAAUCCUGUAGUCGAAAAUGUUGUCUCUCUUGAGUGGAUCCUGAGUACGACGGAGCACGUGAAAUUCCGUCGGAAUCUGGGAGGACCAUCUCCUAAGGCUAAAUACUCUCUAGUGACCGAUAGUGAACCAGUACCGUGAGGGAAAGGUGAAAAGCACCCCGGAAGGGGAGUGAAAUAGAACCUGAAACCGUGUGCUUACAAGUAGUCAGAGCCCGUUAAUGGGUGAUGGCGUGCCUUUUGUAGAAUGAACCGGCGAGUUACGAUUUGAUGCAAGGUUAAGCAGUAAAUGUGGAGCCGUAGCGAAAGCGAGUCUGAAUAGGGCGUUUAGUAUUUGGUCGUAGACCCGAAACCAGGUGAUCUACCCUUGGUCAGGUUGAAGUUCAGGUAACACUGAAUGGAGGACCGAACCGACUUACGUUGAAAAGUGAGCGGAUGAACUGAGGGUAGCGGAGAAAUUCCAAUCGAACCUGGAGAUAGCUGGUUCUCUCCGAAAUAGCUUUAGGGCUAGCCUCAAGUGAUGAUUAUUGGAGGUAGAGCACUGUUUGGACGAGGGGCCCCUCUCGGGUUACCGAAUUCAGACAAACUCCGAAUGCCAAUUAAUUUAACUUGGGAGUCAGAACAUGGGUGAUAAGGUCCGUGUUCGAAAGGGAAACAGCCCAGACCACCAGCUAAGGUCCCAAAAUAUAUGUUAAGUGGAAAAGGAUGUGGCGUUGCCCAGACAACUAGGAUGUUGGCUUAGAAGCAGCCAUCAUUUAAAGAGUGCGUAAUAGCUCACUAGUCGAGUGACACUGCGCCGAAAAUGUACCGGGGCUAAACAUAUUACCGAAGCUGUGGAUUGUCCUUUGGACAAUGGUAGGAGAGCGUUCUAAGGGCGUUGAAGCAUGAUCGUAAGGACAUGUGGAGCGCUUAGAAGUGAGAAUGCCGGUGUGAGUAGCGAAAGACGGGUGAGAAUCCCGUCCACCGAUUGACUAAGGUUUCCAGAGGAAGGCUCGUCCGCUCUGGGUUAGUCGGGUCCU
rnacentral:rRNA from 1 species